GUCGGCCGCCGCCCCUCCCCCCACCCGCGGAAAGCUUCGAGAACAGCUCCCGAAAACAACAAUUUGCCUGCACGCCAAGCCGCCUCCGGGGCCGAGGGACUCCACCCGCCGGAGUGUGCUCGCGGUGUCCACUGGACAGCGCUGCCGCGUCACGGCAUCGUGCGGAUGCCCGCAGACGCCUCAGCUUCCAGCGCACAAAUCCUCGGGAAUCGCCACAACCCAGUCCGCCCCGUGACCGCCCCCUUUGGAGCUUCCACUUUCUUAAUUGGACUGCCGGCCACGCGUUGGGCAAACACGGACUGGAGUUUCCAGAGUCGGUUGGUAAAUCAUGCUUGUCAAUCAACUAGUCUCCUUGGCUACUGCGUCCAUCACUUAAUUAGCUUCGGGCAGAAGCUCGAGGACCCCUGAAGAGUGAAUGGGUGGCUAAGUAAGUGCCUGAAUGGAGUUCUCGGCGACGAAAAGCCCUCAGGACUCCGGUGAAGCUUCGGAAACAGUGGAAAGUUAAAAUUACGGGCAGGAGAGCAUCAGGCCCAAACUGUGGAGCAAGCCAGGACAACAAAAGCUGGAGGCGCGCGGUCCGGGCACCCACACCCCAUUCCCGCCGCCAUCGCUUCCCGAAGCGGACGUUCCACAAGUCACGUCCCGGGACUGCCCACGGGUCGCGCAGCCGCGGGCACGCGCACGGGCACGUCACGUUCCUACUGGGGUUGGGCGUUGUUAUAGGGGGCGACAAAAAGGCUUUCCUGUCUGAAGGGCGCAGAUUUACCACGGAUCGGUCCAAAUUGGAAAUAUUCUUCAGACAGAAAAUAAAUAAAUUGCACAGUGGGAUGGUAAAUGCGUCUCAGCACUCUGGAGACUGGUUGGAGGAUAGCUCACAAAUUGGAUGCCAACCUAGGCUACACAGCGAGCCUCUGUCUCAAAACAACUACAACAAACCCAAACAAUAAAAAAUCCUGAAGCGGAGGAGAAAGCCUGAACAAAGGUUUAGCCGUGCUGGAGGUCCCUGGGCACUCCAGCAAAUAGGAAUAGCAAAGAGGUUCUGCUCUGAACCUCCCCAAGAUGAAUUCCAGCUUCCUUUUCUGGUUCCCAGUCCCUUUUCCAGUCUUUGAUACUCCGUCAGAUUUUCAUAUAUCGCCGCCCCUCCUGGCUGUCCAUGCUGUCUGUCAUCUGUAAUGCCUGUCCAUCUACAGUGUCUGUCACACAGCUCACCCCUUGUCUUCCAGGCAUCCCAGAGUCUGGUGUGUAAAACCAGGAACCAGUACUUACCUCGAACGGUGGUUGUGAGGAUGGAAUGACGCAGCAGAAGGAUUGCUGAUACAGCAUCCAGACCUCAGUCUUCUAAUCUGAAAACUGAGGGUGGCAGCAGUCUCUGUUGGAAAGUGGGGACUGUGUGGUAACUUGGAAAAGUUUGUGGAGUGGAAAGCCAAGAAAUUAGGGAAUCCAGGCCACCCUCUCUCCCAAACAGCAGGCAGACAAAAGGGAAAUGGGUCUGGGGAUUCCCGGGGCAGCCCCUUGGGCCCAGGUGACAGAGAGAGGGUGGAAGGGCAGCUGCAGGUAGAAGAUGGACUGAAGGGCAAAGCCAGCUGAACUGGACUUGAGCCCGGUCUGUACUGUGUGAACACCUGGUGGGUCUCUUACCUGAGCAGUUUGCCUGGGCAGAUUGAAGCUUUUCAGGAGCCCAGCUCUCUAAGCCUCUGAUCUGCCUUUCAUGGCGGGAGCUCUUUACCACUGCACCCAGAUGCACCUAAUAGCUAAGGUCCCCAGCUCUGCUCACCCAGGCAAAAAUGACCCUCUUUGGGUACGGUGCACACCUUUAAACCCAGCACUAAGUUUUGUGUGUGUGUGUGUAUGUACCUCAGGAGUUCAGGGCCAGCCAGGGCUACAUAGACUGCCUCAGAAAAAGAUUUUUUUUUUUUUAAGCGACUAUCCCAUAGGUUGAACUCUCCAAUCCCAGGGUGUUUUCUCCUUGACUGUGCUUUUUAGUCAAGCCCAGAUCCUGUGGGGAAAAAGCCAGGCUGCCUGGGUUGAACUUCACAAGGCCACUUGCACAAGUCCAAUACUGUCCGCACUCCAGCAGCAAUUUCAUAAUUAUACCAGCCUCACUGGGAUAUUUUAGGGAUUAAAUGAGUUAGCAUUUAUCCAGGGCAUGGCACAUAGUAAAAUUUGUUUGUUUGGUUGG
rnacentral:lncRNA from 1 species